UGCCUCAUGACACCCUAUAUGAGGUAAAUCCUGCCCACUGAAUAAUUUUUAACGGCCGCGGUACCCUGACCGUGCAAAGGUAGCAUAAUCAUUUGCCUUUUAAUUGAGGGCUAGUAUGAAUGGACCAACGAGAGUGACCCUGUCUCUUCUUACCAAAUAAAAAAUAACCUGCAGGUGCAGAGGCCUGCAUUUAAAUGAAAGACAAAAAGACCCUAUCGAGCUUAACUUAACCUCUAGACAUAUACCUUAUAUUAAAACCAGAACCUAGGGUAAAGAUUUGUUGGGGCGACACAAGAGCAAACAAAACCUCUAUCUACGACACGGCCACUCGCGCCACUACAUGACCCGGUCUCACCGAUCAAAGGACUAAGCUACCGUAGGGAUAACAGACUAAUCCUUUCUGAGAGCCCAUAUUGACGAAAGGGAUUGGCACCUCGAUGUUGGCUUAGAACCCCCCUAAAUCGCAGCAGAUUUAUCGGUUGGUUUGUUCAACCAUUAAAGUUCUACG
rnacentral:rRNA from 1 species